rnacentral:rRNA from 1 species
AGAGAGAGACAUGCGCGCAUAUCAAUAAGCGGAGGAAAAGAAACUAACAAGGAUUCCCUUAGUAACGGCGAGUGAAGCGGGAAGAGCUCAAAUUUGAAAUCUUCAAGGUUCUACCUUGACGAAUUGUAGUUUAAUAGAAGUGUUUUCUGUUAGGUGUAUUGGCUAAAAGUUCUUUGGAAUAGGACAUCAUAGAGGGUGAGAAUCCCGUAUUUGGUCAUUCCUCCUAGCGUUGUGAUACACUUUCAACGAGUCGGAUUGUUUGGGAGUGCAGUCCAAAAUGGGUGGUAAAUUUCAUCUAAAGCUAAAUAUUGGCGAGAGACCGAUAGCGAACAAGUACCGUGAGGGAAAGAUGAAAAGAACUUUGAAAAGAGAGUUAAACAGUACGUGAAAUUGUCAAAAGGGAAGCGUUUGACACCAGUGUUGUUUUUCCGAAAAUCAAUUACGAAUGUUUUAUUUUUGAGGAGUUAUGACUUCAUCGGCUUGCUCCUUUCUUUAUGAAACUUUCUUAAUGCACUUUUCGGUUAACAAGUCAACAUCAAUUUCUUUUGUUGUAAAAGGGUAUGAGGAAGGUGGCUUUCUUUUCGGAGAAAGUGUUUAUAGCCUUGUGCCUCUGCAAUCGGAGAGAUUGAGGUCUGCAGCGUAGAUCCUUCGGGGUUAGAUACGUUUGUGCUAUGUUAUAGCUUUUCAUAGACAACUCGUUGACUAUGUUUAGUCUUGUAGCUUACUCGCUUAUGCUAUUUUACCUACGCUUAGGAUGUUGAUAGUCACAGCGUGUAC